CUUGGAUCUGACUUCGGACCGGCCCUGCCAUUUUAAUUGACUGCUAAAAGAAUGGAAUUUCAGGGAAAAACUUUUUUGAUUUUAAUAAUUAAAGUUAUUUUAAUUUGUGAAGAAACAAUUAUAAAAAUUAGGGACAAGAAGACCCUAAGAAUUUAUGAAUUUAUACAUAAAUGUAUAUUGUGUUUUAAAUUCUUGGUUGGGGCAACCAAAAAAUAUUUGUAACUUUUAUAAAAUAAAAUGAUCCAUUAUUAAUGACAAUAUGAUUAAAAUACUCUAGGGAUAACAGCGUAAUAAUUUUAGAUAGACCAUAUAGACAAAAUAGUUUGCGACCUCGAUGUUGGAUUAGGAUACUUAUUUAACGAAGAUGUUAAAAAAAAGAAGUUUGUUCAACUUUUAAAUUCCUACUUGAUCUGAGUUCAGACCGGACUG
rnacentral:rRNA from 1 species